GGAUUUGGGAUGACCUGGAGGAGGAGAGACCUUGAAGGGAUUGGUGACAUCACCUGGGGGGUCACCCCUUGGAUUUGGGGUGGAAACCUUGCCUGGAGGGUCAUUCCUUGGAUUUGGGGUGGGAAACCUCGGCCAGGAGGACAUUCCUUGGAUUUGGGAUUGUCUGAAGGAGGAGAGACCUUGUUGGGAUUGGUGACAUCACCUGGGGGUCAUUCCUUGGAUUUGGGGUGGGAAACCUUGCCUGGAGGUCACCCCUUGGAUUUGGGAUGGUCUGAAGGAGGAGAGACCUCGGUGGGGUUGGUGACAUCACCUGGGGGGGGUCACCCCUUGGGUUUGGGAUGAUCUGGAGGAGAAGAAGGAGCAGAGACCUUGGAGGGGGUUGGAAACCUCACCUGGGAGGUCAUUCCAUGGAUUUGGGGUGGGAAACCUCGGCCAGGAGGACAUUCCUUGGAUUUGGGAUUGUCUGAAGGAGGAGAGAUCUUGUUGGGGUUGGUGACGUCACCUGGGGGGUCAUUCCAUGGAUUUGGGGUGGGAAACCUCGGCCAGGAGGACAUUCCUUGGAUUUGGGAUUGUCUGAAGGAGGAGAGAUCUUGUUGGGGUUGGUGACAUCACCUGGGGGUCAUUCCUUGGAUUUGGGGUGACCUGGAGAAGGAGAGACCUUGUUGGGGAUUGGUGACAUCACCUGGGGGGUCAUUCCUUGGGUUUGGGGUGGGAAGCCUCGCCUGGAGGGUCAUUCCUUGGAUUUGGGAUGAUCUGGAGAAGGAGAGACCUCGGUGGGAUUGGUGACAUCACCU